GUCGAACGGACGAUCAGGGCUUGCUCUGAUCGUUAGUGACGGACGGCUGAGUAACGCGUAGGUGACCUGCCCCGAAGUGGGGAAUAACUGCCCGAAAGGGUGGCUAAUACCGCAUGUGGUGGUGCUUUCACUAGCACCAGUAAAGCCGCAAGGCGCUUCAGGAGGGGCCUGCGUCCGAUUAGCUCGUUGGUGGGGUAAUGGCUCACCAAGGCGACGAUCGGUAGGUGGUCUGAGAGGACGAUCACCCAGACUGGGACUGAGACACGGCCCAGACUCCUACGGGAGGCAGCAGUCGGGAAUUUUGCGCAAUGGACGAAAGUCUGACGCAGCAACGCCGCGUGAGGGAUGACGGCCUUCGGGUUGUAAACCUCUUUUGUCAGGGAAGAUGAUGACGGUACCUGGCGAAUAAGUCACGGCUAACUACGCGCCAGCAGCCGCGGUAAUACGUAGGUGACAAGCGUUGUCCGGAUUUACUGGGCGUAAAGAGCGCGCAGGCGGUCGUUCAAGUCGAGUGUGAAAGCCCCCGGCUCAACUGGGGAGGGUCACUCGAUACUGAUCGACUCGAAGGCAGGAGAGGGAAGUGGAAUUCCCGGUGUAGUGGUGAAAUGCGUAGAUAUCGGGAGGAACACCAGUGGCGAAGGCGACUUCCUGGCCUGUUCUUGACGCUGAGGCGCGAAAGCUAGGGGAGCAAACGGGAUUAGAUACCCCGGUAGUCCUAGCCGUAAACGAUGGACACUAGGUGUUGGUGGUAUCAACCCCGCCAGUGCCGAAGCUAACGCAUUAAGUGUCCCGCCUGGGGAGUACGGCCGCAAGGCUAAAACUCAAAGGAAUUGACGGGGGCCCGCACAAGCAGCGGAGCGUGGGGUUUAAUUCGACGCGACGCGAAGAACCUUACCAGGCUUGACAUGACCAGGAUCCCGGCGGAAACGUCGUCCCCGCAAGGGGCCUGGCCACAGUGUUGCAUGGCUGUCGUC
rnacentral:rRNA from 1 species